rnacentral:tRNA from 1 species
CAAGAAGUAGUUUAAUUAGAAUACCAGCUUUGGGUGCUGGUGGUGGGGGAGUAGCUCCUCUCUUCUNNN